AGUAGAAGCAGAUUUAAAGCAUUUUCAUUAGUCAAAGAUGCAAGCUGAAUACAGAAUCGUUGACAUGUCAGUUUAGAGAUCUUUCAUUCUCUUUUUAAUUUUCAAACUCUAAUUCAAACAUAAGAAUAUCAUCAGAGACUACUAUCCCCUAAAUUAUCUAUAUCUAUACACAAUAUUAAAACACAAUUCGACAGAAGAUUUUUACCGCCAAUUCAUUAGCAUUGCUUUUUCCAUCUUUUUAGUCGCAAUAAAUUUUUCGACAUGGUUUUCAGCAUCAAGUUAUCUGUGUCAACUUUUACCUUAAUUACCUGUAAUACCCCGAUAUUUCCCAAUAGAAUAUUUUAGUAAGAAUCUUGAAUUUGGAUUAUAGGUAGUUAUGCCCGGAGAAAAAAAAAAAAAAAAGAAAUCUGGAUAUUUUCAUAGUUAUAUUCAAAUGAUGGUUUAAUUAUCUAAAACCUAGUUCAUGAGAUAUGGCUCCCAAAAGGCCAUGCUUCUUUUUACCUUCCAUAAAUUCUCUACUCUUUUACCCCAAUCACCAUUUCGUUCUGCAUUCUUUACUGCAGAAACACCCUUUACACCAAUCACCCAUCACCAAUCAUCCUCAUUUCCUCCCGAUCAUUCGGGACAUUUUCUCCAUAUCUCACUCCAAUAUCUUCCACAAGGCAACAAGCAAAGUACUACUUACUCAAGAAAUAGAAGAAAAAGAAAGAAAACUCAAACAAAACAGUCACAAAACUCAGUCUAUUCAAAGCUAGAACCACAAAACCACACCAAGGUUGAUCGGUUGGUGCAGAUGGGGUUGAGCUGAGGCUUGGAUUCUGCUUCGUCUUUUGCUUCCGCUAACGACUAGCUUGCUAUCUUAUUUUUCAAUCCCUUAAACUAAGAUCUUCUAUCAUAUGGUGCAGUAUUAUCUUGUUGAGCUUAGACUCUUAAUUCGUAUUUCUAUUAAUGAAGUCAUCAUUGAUUAUUAUCAGAGUCGCGAAACUAAACUUAUGUGAUCCUGUGAGUUUCAAUAUUAUCAAUUGAUUGGCAUCACUCAAUGCCUUUCGUUUUAUCUCUUCAAAUUAUGAAUAACCCAUUUAAAAAGGGUAAGUUGUCAAGUUUAUUCAGCGCAGUCAAGUUUUCUCUUUA